CAUUCGGUGGAGGGACAGUGUUUAUGAUCCCGGCUUAAAACCACUCACCAUCUCUUAUGACCCAGCCACCUGCCUCCACGUCUGGAAUAAUGGGUACUCUUUCCUCGUGGAAUUUGAAGAUUCUACAGAUAAAUCAGGAAAAUUCUCAGUCUCCCUUGAAGAAGUGAAGCCUCCUUCUUUAUGCACUGGCCACUGUCUAAUACCUCCCAACAAUACUUAGAGGAGACUACCUGCUGGAACCUCACUAGAAUUGAGAGAUCAAAUGGUUUUGGCUGUUUUCCCACCGGGGAAUAUAAAAAAUACACAGUUAAUUGCAGAAACGAAGGCUGGGCAUGAUUCCAUCCUAAGCAGCGAUUCUUCAGGUAGCUGCCCAGAAGGGCCUGGAACUCCUCUGGACCACUGCUGAUCUCCAGAUACUCCCUGAGAACCAUCACCUCGGCGUCCGAUUCCUGAGUGGUUUUCACUACUAAAUAUAGUGACUCAGUGACCCAGUCUCUUGGCCAGGACGCUCUCAUGGAAUUUGGGUCGUUUGGCACUUCCUGCCUGGUGCCCACCUGUCUAGAUUACUGGACCCAAGUAGGUCCAGUAUCUCCCUGGUCCAGCCCUGUCUUGAGUCCAUCACCUUUAUCAUUAAGAACCAGCCAGUAGAGGUUGAUCAUGAUCAGGUACGUUCUCUCCACAAUUUUCAUCUAAGGAAAUCCUCAUCUCCCCUUUUGAAACAAGGCUGGGCUCAGACUGUGGCAUCAGUUUUAACAUCUUGUAAUGCUUAUACAUUUUUAUUGAAGUGUACCAACGUCUUAUCUCAGUUUGGACAUGAAUUUAGAGAUAUUUCAAAUUAGCUAGAGAGAAGAGUUAAAACAUAGAAGAACACAAGCUUUUUACAUCUAUAUUUGACAGUGACAUAAUGUUUUUAUUAUACAUGCAUUGUGUAGAUUCUCUAUGAAAAUUAAGACCCUUUUAAAAAAAAAAUGAAGGCUGGAAAUGGGUAUAUUCAAAACCCUUUAAAAUCCUUAAGGGAGUUUUGCUGUAGAAUCUCAGGAUAAAGACAGACUCCAACAAUAUUCAUCCAGAAAUUUUCAUGUAAGUCAGUUGUUUGAAACUUGGGAAUUAUUUUUCUCUUAGAAACUAAGUCUGUGGUGGUUACUACAUCAGCACACAAAAUCCUGUUUAAUUCAUAAACUAAACUGUAAUAAUAACUGCGUUUACUUGUUAUAUUGGAUUUUUAUUGACUAAAAGCUUCCAGCCUCUUUUUUAUGCAGCCAGGAUAACAGUGAUACCAAAACCUAUCAAAGAUUAGACCAUCCUACCCCCAAAAAAUAACAAUAGGUCAAUAUCUCUAAAAAAUAUGUAACAACAACAGAAGAAGCUAAAUAAAAUACUAGAAAUAGAAUCUAGCAGUGCAUUAGAAGAAAUAGAUACUUUGUCCAGGUAGGGUUUAUUCUAGUAAUCCAAAGAUGGUUCAGUACUAAGAAUGAUAUACUUACGAUUAAUGGAUUUCAUCCCAUCAACAAAUCUAUAUGAUCAUUUCCGUAGAUUUCCUAAAAUACAUUAGACAAAACCCACCAUCCCUUUAAAAUUUUUUUAAUAAAACAGAAAUGAAGAAUUCCCUAACUGGAUGAAGUAGAUUUAUCUCAGCUCAAAAAUAAAUAGUAUGUUUAAUGUGGAAAGGAUAUCAUUAAAUCCAUGAUUAUUAGCAUACUAUAUAUUAAAUUUAAUUGAAUUAACCUCUGGCAGGAGCCAAUAAAGUUACACCAAAAAACAUAAAGAACAUUAGAGAAACACUAAAAACUCCUACAAAGAUAAUUCAGCAAUUAGUGGAGUACCAUGUCAAUUUAUAGAAAUCAAUUCCUUUGGUAUAUAUAACUCACAAUUAGUUAGAAGACAUAACAGAAGAAGGAAACCUACUUAUAAUAGAAACUAAAAUAAUGUUAGUAAACAACAUAAAAUGUUAAGAAAACUAUAAAACAUUUCUGAGGGACACAGAAGACUUGACUUUAUAAAAUUCAUACCCUGUUUUUACAUAGGAAGAUAUUAUAGACACCUCUGAUGUCAACUCUCCUUAAGUUGUGAUUCCAUAAAUUUAAUAUGGUUUUAAUAAAAAUACCAACAGAAUUUUAAAACUAGAUAUAGUACUUCUAGAGUUCAUGUGGAAAAGCAAAUAAGCAUGAAUAGCUGGAAAAAUUCUGAAGGAGAAAAUAAGGAAUGAUUAGACCCAUAAGGCUUUAAAGCCACAAUAAUUAAAUAGUAUGAUACUAGCACAUGAAUAGGAAGAUAAAUCAAGGGAAGAAAAUAGUUCAGAAAUAUGGCCAAAUACAUGCGAAUUUACUUUAUGGUCAAGAUAGCAUCUCAGCUCAAUGCAGGAAAAGAUAAAUCCAGUAAAUGGUAUUGGGGGACAACUGAGCAGGCAUUUAGGAGAAAAAGUUGGACCCAUCAUUCAAUCCUGACAAAAAUAUAUUCUGGAUGGAACAAAACUUUAAAGGUAAAAAAAUACCAUAAAAGUACGAGGAUAAGCAUAGGAAAAUUCUUUCAUACAUCCAAAUGGAGGAAGCUUUUCUAACUAUAAAUCAAAACCCGGAAGUAAUCAAGAAAACAACUAGCAAUUAGACUACAUAUAAAAAUUUUAAAAUCCUUUCUGAUGAAAAUCACCGUAAACAAAAGAUAAAUGACAAACAGGGAAAACAUUUGCAACUCUGUUCACUCAUUCAGCUACUAUUUAUUGAAUGCCUACUAUAUGCCAGCUACUCUUCUAGGUGUUUGAGACAUCAUAGUGAACAAAACAGAGUUAAUUGCCCUAAUAUACAAAGAGUUUCUAGAAAUCAGUUUUUAGAUAACAGCAAAUGGUAUAAACAGACAGCUUACAGUUAAGGAAACAAGAAACCCAAUACCAUGUGAAAAAAUUUCCAACCUUGCUUAUAAAAAGCGAUAAAACUACACUGAAAUAUGAAUUUUCACGUAUCAUUAGCAGAAACCCCAAAAUUGUAUUGCUCACAGUGCUGGUACAAGUGUGGAGCAUGGGCAGCCUCAUGUGUUACUGGUAGGUGGUAAUGACACAUGAAUAAAGAUAUAAUAGACUAAAAA